rnacentral:lncRNA from 1 species
GGCCGCGGUCCGCGGUCCAUGGUACCAACAGUACUCCCCCCCUUCCUUGGCAGGCCUGGGGGCCUGGGGCCGUCCACCCCUCUUUCGCCCCCCACCCACUUUCAUUAAAGUUCCUCGGUUCCCGGGCCCAUCCUUCUUUACUUCUCUAUAAAUAAGCUGCCUGAGUCCCCCAUUUUUUGCAUCCCCUCUCCGGUCCGCUAUGAGUGCUCGAGACAUCCUUGAGGAGUAUGGUCGCGAAGUGCAGCUUCAGCAUGCCACCUGGGC